UACGGAGGGGGUAAGCGUUAUUCGGAAUUAUUGGGCGUAAAGGGCGCGUAGGCGGCUAGAUGUGUCAAAGGUGAAAUCCCUCGGCUCAACUGAGGAACUGCCUUUGAAACUGUCUGGCUUGAGGCCGGGAGAGGGUAGCGGAAUUCCCAGUGUAGCGGUGAAAUGCGUAGAUAUUGGGAGGAACACCAGUGGCGAAGGCGGCUACCUGGACCGGUUCUGACGCUGAGGCGCGAAAGCGUGGGUAGCAAACAGG
rnacentral:rRNA from 1 species